UUUUCUCUCUCUAAAACAUCAAGACUAUGGUGUCUAGUGUGUGGGUUCCAAGCUCAAGUGUAUAGAGCUUAGAAAUAUCAAAGAGGCCUUUCUGUUUUCCUGUAUACCAAGGACAAAUUUCCCUUUUUAUGUACAUCAAAUACAAUAUCGAAGGGGGAAAAAUAUCGUCUUGAGAUAGCGCUCAUGCGUACCCGAAAAUAAGAAGGGAUCAAACUUCGAAUUUCUGAAAAUCUUACUAACUUUUUUCCCCUUUUCCACCCAACAAUUUUCCAACACAUUUCCCACAUUUUUUUCUAUUUUUCUUUUUG
rnacentral:lncRNA from 1 species